UCUGGUUACGUUAACAUGUUUUGUGCGGCGAGUCGCCUAGCAAUCCAAGGAGAAGGCAUUCGUUCCCCCAGCCUCCGUAUGUACAUCUGCCAGAGAGAAAGGAAUCCUCCAGUCACUUUUUGCUGAAGCAAUCACCUGGUAGUACAGAAAGCAUGUGAUACUGGCCCAGAAACAAGAGUACUGAACAUAGGCAAACUGCUUCAUUUAAUCUGCAUUAUUUACUCUUAUGGCCGUUGUGGGCACCAUUUCAUCAGCAGAAGCUUUUUCACAUUCAGAAGAUUUUAUUUUCUUAAUCAGAAUGACCGGCACCUUCCCCGCUCACCCUCUUUAAGCAGGAGUUAAGCAAGCAUGUGGUUCCUGAGUCACACCCUGGAUGUAGGAGAGUUCAUGGGAGCAGCAUCUCUGAGCUGGGAUGCAGCAGGAAUUACCUUGUACUAUGGAAAGCUAGUUGGGAAACAUGCCAUAUCAGAAGAUUUGCCAGACGUCUUCACCUUGUCUCUUCCUUUCUGGGCUCAGUCAGCUUUGUGCCAGGGAUUGACCCAGGGCCCUCUGCAGCAACACACAUCAACUUCUAUAGCUAGAGUUUAAGAAGCAGCCUCUGUACAUGGGAGUUAUAACAUGCACAUCUGUGUGUUGGGCACUGAAAGGCUUCUGAUCAAUCCAGCAAAAUCCUCAUGAUUAUCAUCUACAAGGAGGGCAAGAGCAUAUGAGUCGAAUUUCGAUCCCAGUUUCAAAUAAGAUGCCUGCCAACAGAUUAAACAAUAUGUGCCUUCCUGCUU